rnacentral:tRNA from 5 species
UUUAAAAUCUGGCCAAACCCCAGAGAAGAGCA